rnacentral:misc_RNA from 1 species
GUGAAUCAUCGAAUUUUUGAGCGCAAAUUGCACUCUCCUCGGAGAGUAUGCCUGUUUGAGGGUCGGCCUAUAAAAAAUCGACAUCGUUGCUGUUUCACGGUGACGUUCGUCGGAAAUUGGGUCAUCUUAAAUCUUUUGGUUUAAGCGACUUAAAAAUUUCUUUGAUUCCAUGAACGUCUCUAAGAUUUUUCUUUACACGUUUAAGGUAUCGAUUUAUUAGACGUGGCCGUCAUAUCGGAUCGCGUCCAUAAUCUUUCAUUAACUGACCUCCGACAGGUAAGAGUACCCGCUGAACUUAAG